rnacentral:misc_RNA from 1 species
ACCCGCUUUUCGCGUGUUUGAAACGCGAAAUAAAAGAGAGAAAAAGGGGGAAGGGGUGUUUCUCGCGCAGAUAAAGAAGGACACGAUAGGCGAAGAGGAAGUCUCUCUCGCUUCGAGCAGUCCUUUCUCUCCCUCGUCUAAAAAGGCCUUACGGAUGAAGCACGAACGACCAUCACGAUCACAAGGACGCGGAGUCUCGUGAAAGAGGAAACGAAGGCGCGAACGAGACCAGCACGCGUUCAAGCCUUCUACGGAGCGGCGACGAUCUCGAAAACUGUAGGGGUCGGUUAGAGCCCUCAGCGUUUACCACGACGUCCCGUAUUCGUCCCUCUUGCAAGAGAACUCGCUGUUCGUCGUCAUCGUCGUUGAUAGUAGUACAUCCUCGUCGACGCGAAUACUCCAAUCUCCGGACACGUACUCGAACACCAACGAUCGUUAGAUUUGAAACGGAAAAUCUGCCGUGAGAGAGGAAUGAAACGGGAGCAGAAUGAACUGGCAACGAUCGAGCAAUGGUAUCCUGGCUCAGUUUGGGGGCAACGAUGACCUCGAGCGUGUCUAAGGGGGUGGGUUGGAGCGGUGGUGCGAGCAACGAAUCGCUGCCUCGACGUCGAAGCCAGCCGACGCUAGCCACAGAAAGAUAGAUCGCUGGGAUCUGUGGUAGGUCGCAUCGAUCGUCGAAUCCUGGCUUCUACGAUGAACACAACCCAAUAUGAACAACUAGAUGCUAUCGAUAAACACAGUGAAAUACGAAUACCGACGAACGACGCGGAAUUGCUAAUAGGAUUUCGACGAGUAAUGAAUUUUUCGUGGAAACCAAACGCACCCCUUUAAGCAGAGAACAGAUAGCCAUCAGGCUUAACCCAGCUCUGUGUCUUAUUACUUACCCCAGUGUCGUGUCCUCC